UUACCCAAGAAAAAAGUCCAAGAGUGAGGUCACUCCAGUUGGAAAUUGUUUGUGUCCAUCUGUCCAUCCAUCCAUCCAUCCAUCCAUCUUUUCAAUAAUUUUCCAUCUACCUUUCAAUAAUUUUAACUGUUGACUCUGUGCCAGGUACUGUUUUAGGUUCCUGUUCUAAUGGAACUCCCAUCCUCUUUAGCCAGAUUUGUCCACAAAUAUUCCCUUUCAGGAGAAGGACUCCACCAAUCCAGGGAUUCUGGGUCCCUCCUCCCUUGUGUUCUGGCUCUUGUGCAUGGCACUUUGAACAAAUAUUUCUCAGGACUGUGUUAUCCUUGCAAAGGAGGCCAUCCAAACAAAAGAGGACUUCUGGUGAAAUUCCCUAUUGUGAUUUUCAUGCCUACGCUUUUAAGGCAAUCUGCAGAGAGCAAGAAGGUCAAACUGACCUCUCCGCAACUCAGCUGUCUCCAAUUCCCAAAGAGACUGCGGAGAGGUCAUCUCACCUUUUUGGCACUUGGCUCUUUAAUUGCCAGAAUGAGAGGAUUUGAUGAAAUAAACUCUAUGGUUGCUCUUGCUCUAGCAUUUUGCAAUGACUUCCAUUAUAUGGAGGGACUACAUUUCUUUCCCAGGUAAGAAUCAGUCCUUGUUCUGGUGCUUGGGGAAGGCUCUACUUCUGAGCAGGGGGAGCAGUGAAAGCGCAUAAUUCAAUGGUGAUGAGCACCAGGUCUGAGGCUCCUGAACACUUCCUGUCUAUUUAUAGAGAAUCUGGGAUUCUAUCCAGCAGGCCUGCCAAUUGCAUCCACCAAAUAAUAAAUUCGUUUGAGAAAUCCGUUACGCAUUGAUUCCAUGAGCUUCGGUUUCCAGCUUGCUAGCGUGGCCUGGCUUUACUAGGGGGAUCAACCAUCCCAGUUUGCCUGGGACCAAGGGGAUGUCCCAGAACUUGGGACUUUCAGUGCUAAAACUGGGACAGUCCCAAGCAGACUGGACAAGUGGUGACUGUAUUUGUCUGUAAUAAUUCCGAUUACAAAAGCAACAGCCAUCACCAUCAG
rnacentral:lncRNA from 10 species